rnacentral:rRNA from 1 species
CUACGGGGGGCUGCAGUGGGGAAUCUUGGACAAUGGGGGCAACCCUGAUCCAGCCAUGCCGCGUGAGUGAAGAAGGUCUUCGGAUUGUAAAGCUCUUUUGCCAGGGACGAUAAUGACGGUACCUGGAGAAUAAGCCCCGGCAAACUUCGUGCCAGCAGCCGCGGUAAUACGAAGGGGGCUAGCGUUGUUCGGAAUUACUGGGCGUAAAGCGCACGUAGGCGGGUGGUUAAGUCAGGGGUGAAAUCCCGGAGCUCAACUCCGGAACUGCCUUUGAUACUGGCCAUCUAGAGAUCGGAAGAGGUGAGUGGAAUUCCCAGUGUAGAGGUGAAAUUCGUAGAUAUUGGGAAGAACACCAGUGGCGAAGGCGGCUCACUGGUCCGAUACUGACGCUGAGGUGCGAAAGCGUGGGGAGCAAACAGGAUUAGAUACCCCCGUAGUC